rnacentral:tRNA from 5 species
CGGGAUGUAGCGCAGUCUGGUAGCGUACACGCCUGGGGGGCGUGGGGUCGCAGGUUCAAAUCCUGUCAUCCCGA